GAGUGAAAGAGAUCUUUGGUUUUGCCUUUGCUGACUGCUGAUCUGAUCGUCUCAAGUCUGGUGACCUGCUGCAGAAAACCCUCUCCCUCUAUCAUUAUCAAGCAAUUCUGUCUAUCCUAUCACUCUCCCAACUCUAUCUAAUUUGACAGCCAUUCUAUCUUGUAUCAAUCUAUCCCAACUGCUCUAUCUAAUUUGACAGCCAUUCUGUCUUGUAUCAAUCUAUCCCAAGCACUCUAUCUCGUUUUCAGAAAUCCCAGUUUUCAGAAAUCCCAGUCUUCAGAAAUCCCAGUCUUCAGAAAUCUAAGUCUUCAGAAAUCCCAGUUUUCAGAAAUCCCAGUUUUCAGAAAUCCCAGUUUUCAGAAAUCCAAGUUUUGAAAAAUCCAAGUUUUGAAAAAUCCAAGUUUUGAAAAAUCCAAGUUUUGAAAAAUCCAAGUUUUUGGCAAUUGAAGUUACCAGAACUUUGUCAAUCUGUAUUCAGAAUUCUGAGAGAUCUCUGCUCUCACUGCUCCUCCUUUCCUGUCAUUAAACUCUCUCUCCAUUCAUUUUGCUGGAAAAUAACAAUUAGAAAGUUGAAUAUACAGUAGUAGAAUUGCAGUACAGUAGAACUUAUAGUAGAAACUACUUAUACAGCCCUACAUUUGUAGUUUUAACUUGGCAUUACACUUUGAAAUAAACACUGAUAGUUUGGCUUACAAGUGCAAUUUGAUAAAUUAUAUAAACUUAUAUACA